rnacentral:rRNA from 1 species
CCUACGGGGGGCAGCAGUGGGGAAUAUUGCACAAUGCGCGAAAGACUGAUGCAGCGACGCCGCGUGAAGGACGACGGUUUUCGGGUUGUAAACUUCUGUUCUUAGUGAAGAAGAAUCACGGUAGCUACGGUGCAAGCCACGGCUAACUACGUGCCAGCAGCCGCGGUAAUACGUAGGUGGGAAGCGUUGUCCGGACUUACUGGGUGUAAAGGGAGCGCAGGCGGGAAGCCAAGUCAGCUGUGAAAACGAGGGGCUUAACUUGUAGAAUGGUGUUGAUACCGGUUUUCUUGAGUGAAGUAGAGGUUGGCAGAAUUCCGGGUGUAGCGGUGAAAUGCGUAGAUAUUCGGAGGAACACCGGUGGCGAAGGCGGCAAACUGG